rnacentral:tRNA from 1 species
GCGGAUGUGGUGGAAUUGGUAGACACACUGGAUUUAGGUUCCAGCGCCGCAAGGCGUGAGAGUUCGAGUCUCUCCAUCCGCACCA